GUAUUAUAGCCCUGGAAACAGCAUUAUAUACUUGUAGGAAGGAAAGGAACUUUUUAUACAUCAGAAAUUUAAAUUGUUUAUUUCAAAUUUGGAUUGAAAUGUUCUUCUAGUAAAAUGUUGGAUAUCAAAAUUACUCCCAGGAAGAUGACUGACUGAUUUAUGAAGAAAUAACAAAUAAUAAAAAAACCAAGUAUCAAGUCGAUCAGAAAGCGCAACAAAUAAAGGAGAAGUUCCUGGGCUCAUCCUCGAUGGAUAAGACCGAGUUAUGACCUCGGACUGCCAACACACGGCGUGAUUCUCGAUUGAAGCUGGAAUAGCCAGUGGACUGCGAAAAAAUCGAUUUCGGAUAUAUCCAUCGAGGGGUGAAAUAAUGCCGAGUCUAGGUGUAAAAUGGCUUUCUCUUACCUGGUGGCAAGGUUGGAUGUGGUGCUGCGUCGCGUCCUGAUAACUUGGCUGGAAGCAGUUCGUCUCGAGGGUUGCGUAUCCGCACAUCUUAAUACGAAAAGAAAAUUGGUAGAAAGUGGAGGAUAGCUUGGAGGAGGCGUUGGCGGAUGGACGACUGCAUGUUUCAACGAGAGGAGAACAUCGG